UUCACAACGGAGCAGCCUUAGACUUGGAUUCACACCGGAGCCCUAAACAAUUUCGUCAUCUCGAACUUCGAUUCACGCCUUUGAUUCGAUUUGUCUCGAACUUGGGUUCUGAUAUUCAUAAGCAUAUCUUAAAAUUGUGCACUCUAGUCACCGGAGUUUAACAGAGACUCGGAUCUCCAUCUCCGACCAUGGAUUCCGAGCCUUUCGAGAGAGAAAAGAACGUGACUUUUCUGGGGAUGAUGUACCAGCUCCUCCCACACCAAUACCAGAUGCAAGAGAUCAACCGCCUCACUCUCGCCUACUUCGUCGUCUCCGGCCUUGACCUCCUCCAUGCUCUCCACCGCGUACGUCAUCCCUCCUCAAUACGUUGCCGUUUAAGGAGUUCAGUUUUUUCAUUCACUAAUUAGAAGUUUGGAUUUUCAUAUUAACAAGGACGCAGUUGCGGAUUGGGUUUUGUCACUACAAGCUCACCCCGGAGACAGCGACCAAGUCAACAAUGGUAUUAAUUGAAUUCAGGGUGUUGAUAUUCAACUUGGAAUGGCAAUUGAUAGUAUAAAAGAAGUAACUCUAGAAGGCUAUUCUUUUUGCGGUUGGCAAUACUCUUGUUUGUGACGAACUUAAUGAGGCUAAGCGCCUAAGCUGGAUUGGUGAGAGGUUCAAAGUUGUAACUAUUUAUGGAAUUAUGCUGUGAAAAUCUGGCACAAUGAUUGGAGGUACCAGUGGAGG